UCUUAAUAGGCUAGUCACACCCUGUGCAGGAGUCAGUCCCAGUCAGGACACAGCAUGGACAUGAGGGUCCCCACUCAGCUCCUGGGGCUCCUGCUGCUCUGGCUCCCAGGUGCCAGAUGUGACAUCCAGAUGACCCAGUCUCCAUCCUCCCUCUCUGCAUCUGUAGGAGACAGAGUUACCAUCGCUUGCCGGGCGAGUCAGGGCAUUAGCAAUUAUUUAGCCUGGUAUCAGCAGAAACUGGGGGAAACUCCUAAGCUCCUGAUCUAUGCUGCUUCCAGUUUGCAAAGUGGGAUUCCCUCUUGGUUCAGUGGCAGUGGAUCUGGGACAGAUUUCACUCUCACCAUCAGCAGCCUGCAGCCUGAAGAUAUUGCAACAUAUUACUGUCAACACUAUGAUAAUUUCCCUCCCACAGUGUUACAAGUCAUAACAUAAAUCACCCAGGAGAGCAGAUGUGUGAGGCUCAGUGGUCCCAGAUGCCCCUUCUGGUGCCUCCACCUGCUGAGAGUGUUUCUCAAAUCAGAGUCACACUUUGAAGGUCACUGGAGAGUUUUUGUAAAAGAGCCAUGAAGGCCCACUUACUCAUAGCUGUCUUUCCUUGUCCUAAUCCCCAGUA